rnacentral:rRNA from 1 species
CAGUAGCCGCGGUAAUACGCAGGUGGCAAGCGUUGUCCGGAAUUAUUGGGCGUAAAGCGCGCGCAGGUGGUUUAAUAAGUCUGAUGUGAAAGCCCACGGCUCAACCGUGGAGGGUCAUUGGAAGCUGUUAAACUUGAGUGCAGGGGAGAAAAGUGGAAUUCCUAGUGUAGCGGUGAAAUGCGUAGAGAUUAGGAGGAACACCAGUGGCGAAGGCGGCUUUUUGGCCUGUAACUGACACUGAGGCGCGAAAGCGUGGGGAGCAAACAGGAUUAGAUACCCGGGUAGUCCCUGUCUCUUAUAA